ensembl:snRNA U2 U2 spliceosomal RNA
AUCGCUUCUCAGCCUUUUGGCUAAGAUCAAGUGUAGUAUGACAACACUAUUACAAAUAGGAAUUUCAUGUCAUACUAUAAAGAGCUGAAUUAUGUAAUUUGACAUGAGUGCUUUUGAUAGGCAGCUCUCACUGAUUUUUUCAACUUUAC